CCUAGAUUUUUCUCCUGUGUUAUCUUCUAGAAGUUUUAGUUUUGCAUUUUACAUUUAGGUAUAUGAUCUGUUUUGAAUUAUGAGUUGUGAAAUGUGUGAAGUCAGUGCCUAUACAUAUUGUUUUAACAUGUGGAUGGCCUUUUGUUCUAGGAGCAAUUGUUGAGAAGACUAGCCUUUCUCCAUUGAAUUGCCUUUGCUCCUUUGUCAAAGGUCAGAGAUGGAGUAUAUGUUGCCCAGGCUGGCCUUGAACUCCUCAGCUCAGAGAUCUUCCUGCCUCAGCCUCCUGAGCAUCCGGGACUACAGGCAUGCAUCACAGUGCCCAGCUUGAUAAUAAAUGUUCAUUGGUUUUAUCUGCUAAGCUUUGAAUGUAAUUUUUGAAUGCAGCUGUAAAUAGCUAAUAACAUAAUUUUUUCCCAAAGCUGGGAUGGUUUUCCCCCAAAAAACACUACAAAGGAUAAAUAUAUGAAAUGACAUAAGAAUGAAACUGCUAAAAUCAAAUACAGGGAAGUUUUUAAAAGCAAAAUUCUGUUUGUAUAAAGAUUAAAAAACACAUAUUAUCCUUAAUGGUUUCAAUGGAACAAAAUUGAAUAGAUAGCUGUUACUCCUUAACAGAAACAAUGACAGUCAGAGGCAUCAUAAAGUUAUUUUUAAUGUCAUACAGGAGAAUAACUGCCAACCUAGAAUUUCAUACCAAAUGAAACUAUCUUUCAGUAAUGAAGGUGAAGUAAGUACAUUUUCAAGAAAACAAAAACCUUAUCACCAGCAAACUCACAGUAAAAGAUCAAGUUUUUUUUUCUUUUUCUUUUCGAAGCAGAAGAGAAAUGAUCCUAGAUGGAAGCCUGGGGUGGCAAGGUAUCAUGAAAGCAGAAUCUCCUCCUGUUGCCAGACUGGAGUGCAGCGGCACAAUCUCGGCUCACUGCAACCUCUGCCUCCAGGUUCAAGUGAUUCUCCUGCCUCAGCCUCCCGAGUAGCUGGGACUACAGGCUAAUUUUUGUAUUUUAAGCAGAGAUGGGGUUUCACCAUGUUGGCCAGCAUAUUCUUGAACUCCUGACCUUGUGAUCUGCCUGUCUUGGCCUCCCAAAGAAUAAGAUGCAAUUCUAUCUAUAUUGUUAUUUUGCCCUAGUUUUACAAUCUCUAGUUUGCAUGGUAUUGAUUCUAGGAAAUACGUUGAAACUUUAUGUCUUGUGUUCGAGUUCUGUAAAUAUUUCAUUUAUCUAUUGUCAGCUUAAGUGCAGGAGUAUAUAAAUUAGUUUAAAAUUGCUGAUUUUGUUGCUAAAAUCUUCUGUAGCCUCAUGAAUUUUUUAAUCUGUUUGCCCUAUCAGUUUCUAAAAAAGGUGUAUUAAAAUCUCCCUGUAUGAUUGUAGGUGUCUCAAUUUUUUUCUUUUGUUAGAUUUUUACUUUAUAAAUUCCAAUCUUAUGUUGUUAAUUAUAAGUUGAUGAUUGUGAUACCUCAUUUAUUAGUAGUUCCUUUUAUUAUUACUGUGUAGUGACCAUUUUUC
rnacentral:lncRNA from 13 species